GGACUAAAGAGGGAAAGCAUAUAAAAAUUCUAGCUGAAAUUGAUCUAAAUCAACCAAUGCUGAGGGGAACUAUGGUUAAAAUGAAUGGUAUAAUUAGAUGGGUGGAAUUUAAGUAUGAGAGGUGUCCUGAUUUUUGUUUUAGCUGUGGAAUUAUGGGACAUACAGAGAGAAACUACAAAAAAAAGGAGCUCAUAUGCGGAGAGAGCCUCAAUUUGGAACAUGGUUACAAGCUAGUAAUCCAAGAAGUCUUAUUAAGAA
rnacentral:lncRNA from 1 species